GAUGACCGUUGGGUUGGUCUUGGCUUCGUUAACGGUUAAUUGGGCUGGCCACUGGGUGGUCUUGGUCUUGAGGUGACCAUUGGGUGGUCUUGAGGUGACCACUGGGUGGUCUUGAGGUGGUCAUUGGGUUGGUCUUGAGGUGACCAUUGGGUGGUCUUGAGGUGACCAUUGGGUUGGUCUUGAGGUGACCAUUGGGUUGGUCUUGAGGUGGUCAUUGGGUUGGUCUUGAGGUGACCAUUGGGUUGGUCUGGAGGUGACCACUGGGUGGUCUUGAGGUGACCAUUGGGUGGUCUUGAGGUGACCAUUGGGUGGUCUUGAGGUGACCAUUGGGUGGUCUUGAGGUGACCAUUGGGUGGUCUUGAGGUGACCGUUGGGUGGUCUUGAGGUGACCGUUGGGUUGGUCUUGAGGUGACCAUUGGGUUGGUCUUGAGGUGACCAUUGGGUUGGUCUUGAGGUGGUCAUUGGGUGGUCUUGAGGUGACCAUUGGGUGGCCUUGAGGUGACCAUUGGGUGGUCUGGAGGUGACCAUUGGGUUGGUCUGGAGGUGACCAUUGGGUUGGUCUUGAGGUGACCACGGGGUUGGUCUGGAGGUGACCACGGGGUUGGUCUUGAGGUGACCGUUGGGUUGGGUCUGGAGGUGACCACUGGGUGGUUUUGACUUUGACCAUCGAUUGUCCAGCCUUGACUCGCGUUGCUCGUUGGGUUGGUUUGGGCUUUGCUGACCAUUGGUUGGGUUGGCCGAGGGUUGGGUUGGGUUGACCUUGACUUGAGUUUGGCUUUUGAUUGACUUGGGUUGGGUUGACCUUGGCUUGGGUUGAGUUUGGUUGAGUUUGGGUUGGGUUGGGUGGACCUUGGGUUGGGUUUGUUUGGUUGACCCUUGGUUGGAUGGGAUUGACCUUGGCUUGGGUUGAGUUUGGUUGACCUUGGGUUGGGUUGAGUUGACUUUGAGAUGGGUUUUGUUGACCUUUGGUUGGGUUGGGUUGGGUUGGGUUGACCUUUGGUUGGGUUAACCUUGGUUUGAGUUGGGGUGGGUUUGGUUGACCUUGGUUGACCUUUGGUUGGGUUGGGUUGGGUUAGGUUGGUUGACUUUAGGUUGGGUUUGGUUGACCUUGGUUGACCUUUGGUUGGGUUUGGGUUGGGUUGGUCUUGAGUUGGGUUGACUUGGGUUGGGUUUGGUUGACCUUAGUCGACCUUUGGGUGGGUUGGGUUGAUCUUGAGUUGGGUUGGGUUGAUCUUGAGUUGGGUUGAGUUGGGUUGGGUUUGGUUGACCUUAGUCGACCUUUGGCUGGGUUUGGUUGACCUUGGGUUUGGUUGACCUUGGUUGACCUUUGGUUGGGUUUGGUUGACCUUGGGUUGGGUUUGGUUGACCUUGGGUUGGGUUGACCUUGGUUGACCUUGGGUUGGGUUUGGUUGACCUUGGUUGACCUUUGCUUGGGUUGGGUUG